rnacentral:rRNA from 1 species
CUGGCGACCGGCAAACGGGUGCGGAACACGUACACAACUUACCCAGAACUGGUGAAUAGCCCUCCGAAAGGAGGAUUAAUACACCUUAUUAUACCGAAGAAGGCAUCUUUUUGGUAUCAAAGCCUUCGGGCGGUUUUGGAUGGGUGUGCGGCCCAUUAGGUAGUUGGUUGGGUAACGGCCCACCAAGCCUGUGAUGGGUAACUGGUGUGAGAGCACGACCAGUCACACGGGCACUGAGACACGGGCCCG